AACGAACGCUGGCGGCAUGCCUAACACAUGCAAGUCGAACGAGACCUUCGGGUCUAGUGGCGCACGGGUGCGUAACGCGUGGGAACCCGCCCUUAGGUUCGGAAUAACUCCCCGAAAGGGGUGCUAAUACCGGAUAAUGUCUUCGGACCAAAGAUUUAUCGCCUUUGGAUGGGCCCGCGUUGGAUUAGCUAGUUGGUAGGGUAAAAGCCUACCAAGGCGACGAUCCAUAGCUGGUCUGAGAGGAUGAUCAGCCACACUGGGACUGAGACACGGCCCAGACUCCUACGGGAAGCAGCAGUGGGGAAUAUUGGACAAUGGGCGAAAGCCUGAUCCAGCAAUGCCGCGUGAGUGAUGAAGGCCUUAGGGUUGUAAAGCUCUUUUACCCGGGAUGAUAAUGACAGUACCGGGAGAAUAAGCGCCGGCUAACUCCGUG
rnacentral:rRNA from 1 species